rnacentral:rRNA from 1 species
AAUCAACGCUGGCGGCGUGCCUCAGACAUGCAAGUCGAACGCGAAAGUCCCCUUCGGGGGAUGAUUAGAGUGGCGCACGGGUGAGUAACACGUAGGUAAUCUACCUUCGAGUGGGGAAGUAACUCAGGGAAACUUGAGCUAAUACCGCAUAAUGCAGCGGCACCACAUGGUGACAGUUGUUAAAGCAUUUAUGCGCUUGAAGAGGAGCCUGCGGCGGAUAGCUAGUUGGUAAGGUAAUGGCUUACCAAGGCUACGAUCUGUAACCGGCCUGAGAGGGCGGACGGUCACACUGACACUGAAUAACGGGUCAGACUCCUACGGGAGGCAGCA